UUAGCUAAUAGCCUUUCUGAAU
rnacentral:piRNA from 1 species